AUGUGCCUUAUAUAUAAGAUAUAUAUAUGUAUAUAUAUCUCCCAUUAGUUCUGUCCUCUAAGAGAACCCUAAUACACUGGGAAAACAUCCAGCACAUCGUGAGCCCUCAAAUACUCAUUUUUGAACCUCUGGAACCCUAUCAGGUUUGCCUUUGAAUUUCAUUUUCAUCUUGUUAUUGGGAGUAAUGAAUAAUCUCUUUAAGGUCCUUGGGCAUGGUAGAUGCUUAGUAAAGAGUUAUUAUCAUUAUUAUUUGUCAUUUCCAUUAUAUUUUCAACCAUUAUCAUUGGAAUUAAUAAAAUUCAGAGACCCAAUAUUGUAUUAGAGCUAAACUGAAACCCUAUCCAGGCAAAUUAUAAAACACAAACCUCCAACCUGGAAAUUAUCACCAUCUCAUAGAUAAUAUAAUCACAGCAAAGAACUAAAACUUUGAUCCCCAAAUGAAGAAAAAUGCCUUCUGAGGGCAUGAACUUUAUUUAUCCUUUCUGGAUUGGCCAAAUUCAUAUCAUGUAGAUAAUGUUAAAAUAAAAACAUUCUUUUAGCUCUUUCUCAGGCUCCAAAUAGAUUCAGGGCUAAUGCAGCAUUCAAAUUUGCUUCCUUACUUUUAGGAAUGGCUUGAAUAAUGGAGAAAUGGGAUUUUUGUUCAACCAAGAUUUCCUUCUGGCCCCACAGAGUUUAAAAAAAAUAGAUUGCCUCAACAUCAACAUUCCUUGUAGUUACUCCAUGAGGCAAGGUGGACCCAGACUCCACUGUGUGGACGGACCUCCCAGAAGAAUCCUCCUGUCCCUGAAGGCCACUCUGCCUUCUGCUACAGGUCCCAGUGCUGAUUGUGAUACUUAACAAGGGCUUUCAGAUGUCUGAAACACGAGUAUAGCAUAGAGUUAAGAAUGUGGCUUCUGGAGAGACAAAUUCGGUUUCAAAUUCAGUUCUGUGACCUUGGGUAUGUUACUGAAACUUUCUAAGUCUCAGUUUCCUCUUUAAGAAAAUGGAGAUUAUAAAACCUGCUUUAUAAGGAUUGUGAGAGAAUCAGAAUGGACUGUUAAAUGUAAAGCUUUUGGCAGAGGGCCUGGCACAUGGCAAGCCCCCAGUAGAUGUUAGCUACUAUUAUGUACCGGAUUGAUGUCUCAUAUUCAAUCUGAGUCUUUUUCAUGGGUGUUGAAGAUGAAAGUAAGGCACAGAUAUUUGAAAUCAGUAGAGAAUGCCUUUUGUGAUAUGAUCCAGUACAAGUUCUGUACCUUAAAUAAUGUUGCUAGCCAGUACAGGGUGGUCAAAGAGAGAAAUUACAGUAAAUUUUGUGUUGAGGAUGUAUUUGAUUCCUCUUGGGAAGGAAAGAGGGCCUUGCACAUACAUUCUGAACACUGAAUAUGCACAGACUAUUUUUAAAAACAUUACUUUCUUAGACAUUUUUCUGGCACCUGACCCUUUGUGACUUUUAGAUUUCUUUCCUCAACAAUUUUCCAAAAUUAUGUUCCCGGUUCACACAUUAUCCAAAGCCAAACACUCCGUAGUGUGUGUUAGUGAUCACAGACGGAGGGUCGUAUGGGAGGAAGAGCUAUAAUAGUCUCCAUAAUGCAUUAAGGAAACAAUAAAGUAUAUCCCCUUGCAAGGACAUAAUGGAGCUUCCUGAGGCUCUUUUGCAUAAGGAACUGUUCCUAAAAGCCCACAUUAUUCAUCAGCAAGCAGUGCGGCCACACAUCUCAGUAGGCCGGGUAACAGAACAAGGAUGUUCGCCAGGAAAGAAAUUCUUAAUUUUGGCUUCACCACAAACUUUCUGGACGACCUUGAACAAGUCAUGUAACUUUGUAUCCUAUUUUAUUUGUCUUACCUUAAGUAGUCAUAGCUUCCCAGACCUAAAGGAACCUCAGGAAGUCAUCAACCCAUUCCUCUGGUGUCAUGGAAAACUUUACUUCCAACCAUUUUCAGAGAGGCAAUGCUUCCUCCCUCUCAUUCUCUUCCUUUCUUCCCUUCUUUUUUCUUCCUCUUGUGUUAUUAGAUUGUUUUGGAGGGAUGGAGUUUGAUUGUGACAAGGAUCUCAAACUUAAUUCUUUCUAGGGCCAGGUAGGUGUAGGGAGUUGAGUCUAACACAGUAAGAAGCAAUAGUCAUGUAGAAGGCCAGAGAGUGCAUGAAUUCCAAAAGGUAUCCCAAAACGUUUUAGCUGUGCAGGCCAAACAGAACCUAUCUGCAUUCAGAGUCCCUUUAUGGCCCAUGGCCAGUUUGCAACCUCUGAAUAUAAGUAUAAAAACAGCACCUAUAAUGCUGGGCUAAAGGGAAUAUAUGGUAACUAGAUAGUUAGAUAUACAUUUUCAAAUAGUAUUGGCAAAUACUCCAUAUGUGAAAAAUCUAUAAAUUCAGUUUAUUAUGGUGUGAAUCUCUGCUCAGAAGAAAACUUCUUUAGUGCUUUAAGAAGAAUUACAUUUCCAAAAAUUCAUUUUGCACCCCUUUCUUUCAGAAGACCUACUUUAAAAGAUAGUCAGCACCUUAGAGAUCCCCUAGGUGAUCCAAAUUGACCCAGAUAAUUGCCAGGGGAACAAAAUAAAACCAGAGUGCCUUGCUCCCAAAUUCAGUGUAUCCUAAUCUGGCCAUGUUAAAUUUCUGGGGUGGUUUUACUGGCUCCCAGAGAAAAUUAGAUUGUCCUCCUCCUAAUUUUCUUUUCCUUUUUUCCUUUUUCUUGUAUGUUAUUACUAUUAAUUAAUACAGACAAAAAUUAUCUGGUGUACUUGGGUGAUAUAAAUGUACUAGUGUACAAAGAAGGGGAUGGAUACAAGUGAUCUUUUGAUUCUCCCUUAUUUUCCUUCCUCUUUCAGGCGAGGGCAAAUCCAUCACACUGCAGGUGCAGUCUCAUCCAACAUCUCUGGGAAAAGCCCAAAGGCGCAGCUGGUCUCCAAGUCGAGCAUAAAAGCUGGGGUCACAAUUCAUUCAGCUCCUAAGAGGAACUGGGCAUGGAUGGCACUUUAGCCCUUUCAGGAGGGUUGGCCAGGCAUGGGAAGCAGGGUAGGCUGGACUGGAUGGACUUAAGAGUUACAACAGAAAAUGUAAAAAGCAAAAGAAAAAUGAAAAGCCAAAAGUCCAGUGCCAGCUGGCACAAAUCCAAACCCAGGAAGGUGGUCUUGGGACGGACGGGAAGGGUGUCUAUGAAAGAGCCCUAGGGAAUAACGUCGACCUCAGAGUCUAACUUGACUUCAACCGAUCAAAAGCAAGCAGGCUAGCCUCCCUGUGAAAUACACAGAAGCACAAACUGUGAAAGGUAGAGACGGCCUUACAGAUCACCUGACACAUCUACAAUAACCUCUCAUUUUGCAGAGGACACCUCAGAGAGGUGAGGUCACAUAUUUGGAGGCCAAGCUCCACUCUCCAAGCACCCUGUCCUGCACUCUAGAUAAGAGAAUCCCACACUGCUUUACUUUGUCUAGGGUUAAAUUCAUCAUCUUUACCAUGAGGGCAGGGCCUACAAUUCUUUGAAUGACAUUAGUCUUUAGUGCUCCAUUAAUCAAUCAUUUAUCAGUAGCACAGGCAAACAUCACUCAAUUUAGGGAUAGUUCAGUGGCUGGUUUUCUUUAAUAACCUCCAUUUUGACCUUUGCUUAGGUAGAUUGGGGGUUGUGUAGCAACUCAAUCAGUUACACUGAUGGCCAACUUAUUCCAAAAAAUUAGUCAGGUCAGCUGAACAAUGUUCAUUGAUUUUUUUUUUAACAUGGCAAUAAAUUGAUUGUAAUGUUGAUCUGUGCUAUAUAAGCAGAGCCGAAUUGCAUGUAUAAUUUGUAAAAUGCCUAGGUUAAACUUCUCUUAAUUGGUGAUAGAACAUGUGCCUUUAAAGUCUAUGAGGGCAUAGAAAUUCAAAUGAAAGAAAUGUAUAGAUUUUUUAAAUAAUUAGGAGUUGGAGUUAGACAUUCAAGAUAGGAAAGCCCUCAUGAAUAAUAUGAAUGUAACUAACUCUGCUAGUAAACUUACUUUAAUAAAAGACUAUGUACGAAUCACUACACUGAGUGAUUUAUGUAUAUAUGGUAUGAUCAUCCCUAUUCUUUACAAUGAACUCAACUCAUUUGUCUCAAGUAAGCUAGUAAGUCAUGGACAUAGAUGCUGUCUGGUUCUGAGUCCUAUAUGAUUCUCAGGUAGUUUGAGAAGCAGCAUGGUACAGGGGCUGGAGCACUAGACCAAGAGUUAAGGGACCUUAUCUCUGGUCUUGACUCCAGCUCAGUGCAUGUUAGCCAUCUUUCCUGCCUCUAAAUGAUGAGGCUGGGCUGAAACUAGGGCUCCAGCUCCAAGGUAUUGUGUAUUUGAUGCUUUGUUCAGGUUUCUACUCUUAAAAGAUAGAUACCCAUGUAAGCAGCACUUCUUGAUUGGGAGCAAAACACUUGCUCCUAGAUUUUUAAGAGAAACUGUGUUUAGCUUUAAAAAAGAAAUUGAAAAGAAAGGCACAGUCUCAAGGGGCAGACAGAGCUGGGUUCAUAUCCUGGCACUACCUAUGCCACCUGGCACAAAUGACUCCACCUCUGUAGGCCCUGGCUUCCCCCUCUUUUUGAUGGGCAUAGUUAUACCUACCUCAUUUGGAUGUUCUGAAGAUUAAAUGAGAUAACAUGUCUUGAGCAGUGGAUCAUAGCAGGAUUUCAACAAAUUUCCUUUGGCGUCAACUUAGACAAUUAGAGUCAGGUGCUGAAAACCUAAGUUAAUAUCUACUCUUCUGAUAAGAAAAUUAAUUUAUUUCCUGAAAACAAUCUCCUGAAAAUUAUCUGGAACUUUUCUUCUUUUUAAACUAGGCCUUCUUUGGUGUUUUGCUAGGUACGUUUUGCAUCCCUAGGAGCUAGGUACUAUGAUUGUCCCCUUUUUACACUGAGGAAAUAGAUGCAUAGAGAUAUUAAGUAACGUGCUCAAGAUAAACAUCUAGAAAGUGGUGAAGGAAGGAAUCAAAUGGAAUUGUCUUGGUUUCAAAGCCCAUGCUCUAAGUGCCACCUCCCAUAUGACACAAAAUCAUCCCAAAGAAUCCCCAAUUUUGAAUCAAAUGAAUGAAGUAUCAACAGUGUAGUCUAGCUGCCUGGCAGCAUUUAUAGCUCCUAAAGCCAACACCAAUUUUUCCCAAAUGAUUUGAGCCCAGCCAAUCACAGUGAAGACCCUGGGAUAUUUCCUCUGUUCAUUGAACAGCUUGGGUGCCACAGAAAUAUCCUCUAUCCCUUGGGUAACAAUAGAGCAGAUUUCUAGAAUAUUAGAAAAAGUUUAAAGCAAAGGCAGUUUUCAUGGAAUCUGAAGUAAGAAUAAAGCAGGUCCUGAAUUUGAAAUUAAUUUCACUAUUAUAUACAGGUGCACAAGAAAGUAUUCUUCUCCCCCAGACAAAAGAGUGGGAAGGACUCAGGAAGGCUCAACUUGCAAACUCCCCGUAUCAAGUGACUGCCUUCAAAAUCCAACCCUUCUCUUCCCAGCUCAUUUCCAGUAUGUAUUUGCAAAGGCCAUGCCAUUUUUGAAGCCUCCUCUCCUGUUUACUCAAGACACACUGAAUUCUGACCAAGUCCUACAAGGAAUUAACUCCAUCUUCAGUUUAAAGUUCUCGACAAACUUAAGGAGUCUACCCUCUCUCAAGCAACCAUCCAACAUACUUAUGUUCAACGAGGCUAGAUCGAAAAUCGUCUCCCGCUGAGCACUUGUGUGGCAGGUAAAAGCCCGUUCUGUGAAUUAACCAGUAUGUUUCAUAAAGCCUCUGCUGGCAGCCGACAUCUGAAUUAAGGCUGCUGCUUUUGUACUUCUGUAGCCUGCACUCUCACCAUCAUAGCACACUAUGCUGCACUUGUCUCCUUUCUGUAACCCCGACUAGACUGAAGCUCACUGAGGGCAGAGGCAGGAUCCUUGGCACUGCUGACAUUUGGACCAGAUAAUUCUUCGUUGUGGGGCUGUCCUGUGCUGUGCAUUUUGUUGAGCAGCAUCCCUGGCUUCUACCCAUUAGAUGCCAGUAUACCACCCUCAUUUCUACCCUCACUUGUGACAGCAGCUGACAAAAAAAGGUCUCCAAAUAUUGCCAAAUAUCCCCUCAGAGGCAAAAAUCACCCUUGGUUGAAAUCCUCUGUGCAGAAUGCCUUUUUCACGCAGAGCACUCAAGAAAUACUUGUAGGAGAAUGCAUAGGUUGAUGGAAACAAAAUGCUCCAAUGUA